GACGAACGCUGGCGGCGUGCCUAACACAUGCAAGUCGAGCGGGGUUGAAGCGAGGGGUAACUCGAGUUUCUACCUAGCGGCGGACGGGUGAGUAACGCGUGGGCAACCUGCCUCAAGGACUGGGAUAACAGCUCGAAACGGCUGCUAAUACCGCAUAAGCUUUUUAGGACACAUGUUUUAGAAAGUAAAGGAGGCUUUCAGCUUCCGCUUAUGGAUGGGCCCGCGUCUGAUUAGCUAGUUGGUAGGGUAACGGCCUACCAAGGCAACGAUCAGUAGCGGCCUGAGAGGGUGGACGGCCACACUGGGACUGAGACACGGCCCAGACUCCUACGGGAGGCAGCAGUGGGGAAUAUUGCGCAAUGGGGGAAACCCUGACGCAGCGACGCCGCGUGAGCGAAGAAGGCCUUCGGGUUGUAAAGCUCUGUUGUAAGGGACGAAAGAAUAAGGGAGUAACUGACCCUUAAAGUGACGGUACCUUACAGACAACGUCCCCGGACUAACUACGUGCCUAGCAGCCGCGUAAG
rnacentral:rRNA from 1 species